rnacentral:rRNA from 1 species
CAGACGGGUGAGUAACGCGUGGGAAUCUACCCAUCCCUACGGAAUAGCUCCGGGAAACUGGAAUUAAUACCGUAUACGCCCUUCGGGGGAAAGAUUUAUCGGGGAUGGAUGAGCCCGCGUUUGAUUAGCUAGUUGGUGGGGUAAUGGCCUACCAAGGCGACGAUCAAUAGCUGGUCUGAGAGGAUGAUCAGCCACACUGGGACUGAGACACGGCCCAGACUCCUACGGGAGGCAGCAGUGGGGAAUAUUGGACAAUGGGCGAAAGCCUGAUCCAGCCAUGCCGCGUGAGUGAUGAAGGCCCUAGGGUUGUAAAGCUCUUUCAACGGUGAAGAUAAUGACGGUAGCCGUAGAAGAAGCCCCGGCUAACUUCGUGCCAGCAGCCGCGGUAAUACGAAGGGGGCUAGCGUUGUUCGGAAUUACUGGGCGUAAAGCGCACGUAGGCGGAUUGAUCAGUUGGGGGUGAAAUCCCAGGGCUCAACCCUGGAACUGCCUUCAAUACUGUCUGUCUAGAGGUCGAGAGAGGUGAGUGGAAUUCCGAGUGUAGAGGUGAAAUUCGUAGAUAUUCGGAGGAACACCAGUGGCGAAGGCGGCUCACUGGC